rnacentral:rRNA from 1 species
AGAGUUUGAUCCUGGCUCAGGAUGAACGCUAGCGGCAGGCUUAAUACAUGCAAGUCGUGGGGCAGCAGGGGUAGCAAUACUCGCUGGCGACCGGCAAACGGGUGCGGAACACGUACACAACCUUCCUUAAAGUGGGGAAUAGCCCAGGGAAACUUGGAUUAAUACCCCGUAAUAUUAUUGAAUGGCAUCAUUUGAUAAUUAUAGCUCCGGCGCUUAAAGAUGGGUGUGCGGCUGAUUAGGUAGUUGGCGGGGUAACGGCCCACCAAGCCUACGAUCAGUAACUGGUGUGAGAGCACGACCAGUCACACGGGCACUGAGACACGGGCCCGACUCCUACGGGAGGCAGCAGUAAGGAAUAUUGGUCAAUGGACGCAAGUCUGAACCAGCCAUGCCGCGUGGAGGAUGAAGGUCCUCUGGAUUGUAAACUUCUUUUAUCUGGGAAGAAACCCAAGGUUUCUACUUUGGUUGACGGUACCAGAUGAAUAAGCACCGGCUAACUCCGUGCCAGCAGCCGCGGUAAUACGGAGGGUGCAAGCGUUAUCCGGAUUCACUGGGUUUAAAGGGUGCGUAGGUGGGCUAGUAAGUCAGUGGUGAAAUCUCCGGGCUUAACCCGGAAACUGCCAUUGAUACUAUUAGUCUUGAAUGUUGUGGAGGUAAGCGGAAUAUGUCAUGUAGCGGUGAAAUGCUUAGAUAUGACAUAGAACACCGAUAGCGUAGGCAGCUUACUACACAAAUAUUGACACUGAGGCACGAAAGCGUGGGGAUCAAACAGGAUUAGAUACCCUAGUAGUCC